AACAACAUACUUGAUUCAAAAAAGGUUUAAAAAGAGGCAAUUCACAUAAUACCUUAGAAGAUGUUUGGAAAGUUUCACUCAAGUUUCAAAGACACUGAAGUCAAAAAGAAGCAGCGUCAACAUUACAGCUUGAUAUUGUAGUUUUUUGUAACGGUGCUAUGCUUCCUCCAAGCCGGUAGAUGGAAAUGAUGCAUCGUUUGAACUACCUGAGUUUUGAAGACACUCUUCAAGCGUAUUUUGCUGGCAUGCACACAGACAGCUCUUCUCCUGUUUUACGUUGUGACAACAUUUUCACAUUGAAGAUUUAAAGAUCUGUGUUCUGCAGCAACAACUCGUUCGUGUGCAACUUAAGGUCCCAACAAAGGCUUAAACCAUGUCGACAGUCUUCUCGUUCCAGACACAGCUCGUCUCCAUCAUGGACGCGUUAUCCAAAACCGCUGUAAUGGAAAUAAGCAAACUGGUCGAGAUAGAGUCCAAGAUGCUAAAAAUUGAGAUAACUCGAGGGCGGAACGAAAUCUCCUCGCUCACAGAGAAACUGCAGCUUAUGGAGAAACUGCUGUAUAUAGCGCAGGGCAGCAGACAGGACACAGCAGUAUGCGCAGUGGUGAGGGACGAUUCGGAGGAAGGGACUGUGGAGCCUGACAGGACAAGACCUGCCAUUAAAAGUGAAAGUCCAUGGGAAAGUUCCUCUUCUGAGAUAAGCAAGUGGCAUCAUCCUCAAGAGGAGGAGCAUGCCAUAGCUGAACUCCCAAACCAACAGAGAGAUCAGCCAGAACUGAUAGUGGUAAAAGAAGAGCCAUUAGAGGUGGACAACAUAGACUGUGAACCUGAUAGGACAAGUGAACACAGAAGGGAAGAAUUCAAAGACACCCACAAGGGUCCAGAAGUGAUGCAGCGUACAAAACCCAUGGCAGAUCGUCAGCAGCCUCUGUUUACUGACAGCUUUGUGACCUUGAGCAAUCAGCCGUCUUUUGCUGGACCAGGGAGGAGGGAAACAUUGUGGAAUCCACAGCUUACACCUGCACACACAAACCUAGUUGCUGGGAAAAGCUUUGUCGAAAAUGUUGCCACCCAAAGCUUAAGUGUGCUCAGAAAUAUGAAACUUCACAAUUUGAGGAACUCAGCUGCUAAGAGGUUUGGAUGCGUGCAGUGCGGGAAGAACUUCAGAUGCUUUAGCCAGCUAGAAAUACACCAGAGAAGUCACACAGGAGAAAAACCGUUCAGGUGCACGCUGUGUGGAAAGAGAUAUGCACAAAAAGGACAUCUGUACACACACCAGCGCACACACACUGGGGAGAAACCCUACCGCUGUCCUAUUUGUGGAAAAGGCUUUAUUCAGAAAUGCACUCUUGAUAUGCAUCAGCGUACACACACCGGAGAAAAACCUUUUGUUUGUAUGAAGUGUGGCAAGGGCUUUACAAAGAACUGUAAUCUGAAAAAACACCUUACAGUACAUCUAGACCCUAGUUUAAACAUGUAUGGUAGGGAAUCUGGUGUACCAACAUUUAGUGGGACAAUCAUAAAUGGAACUACCUAAAACAGCCAGUCAAUAAAGAAACUGCUGUUUGAUUGAAAUAAUGUGUGCAUAAUAAAGUUAUAUUCUUUCCAGAUUUGAGUGUGUAUCACCUGCUUUAACAAUACAAAGGUACAAUGUAUCUGCUGUCUACCGCUCAUAUAUCAAAGUUCCCCUUUCGAACUGUGCAAACUUGAUAUUGUGCUACUGCUGUAACAGCACAGUUUAUGUGAACUGACUUUGAAAUCUGAUUACUGAGACUAUGUUGUGACAUGAUCUGGUUUAUAACUGGAUACUUUAUAAAGUUCCAGUAUUCUACCUUGUCUGCAUUGGCGCUUGUGUAAACACAAUUUUCAGGUUAGAUUUCUAUCGUUGACGAUGAUAAUAAUUAAAGAUAAUGUGCUUUUGGAUCAAAUACGAACUGAACAAAUAACUAUGCUGCUAAAUGAUAAAAUCUUGCUGUAAAAGCUGCUCUAAAAAUACAGUUAUUGGUAUUACUGUAUUAUUUAUUGUCGCUACACUCAGAAUUAUUUGUACAUAUUGUUAUUAACAAUAACAGUAAUGCUGACAGCCAGUUACCCACAAUGUGGCGUAGUACUGCAGUUCCUCCUUGUGGCCGCUGGAGGGCAGUGAACAUUCACGUUUGUAAACACUACAAGGCUGUUUCAAGAAAGGGUCCGCCUCUAAUCUAUUUAGUAUUCAUUGUUUAAGACAGAAUUGGUGGCAGUACUAACAUUACUUUUUUAUCUGUCAUUCCCACUGAACUAUAAAACGUUUCAGUCUCUAGCUCAGUCAAAUAACGUUUUUUUCAGAUUGUGCUGCCUUCAGGUGCUCCUCGUACAUUUCGAAAUGCAAGAACAAUAUCUUCCCACAAUGCAUCGCGGCACAGCUAUAUCAUAUUUGAUGGAAGCGUAAAGCCGCUCCUCUAGGAAUAUUGCAAAUAAUUUGGAAAUAUUCAGGCUCCCUUUCAAGAUGAUGUGCGACACCACCAACCGGAGUUUUCGGGCGCAGUUAGCCGCUGUCCUGGACAAGCUAACGAAGACGGCUCUGGUUGAAAUAGGGAACCUGGCAGAUGAAUGCUCCUCUGUCCUUCACACCGAGAUCUCCCUGCACAAAACGGAGAAUGAGGCGUUGAAGAAGAGGUGCUACUUCCUGGAGGUCCAACUGAGAGCAGCCAGGGAGGCACAGACCUAUCCUUCCCAUGUUAACAGUGUCAGCCGCAGACAGCCUGCAGACCAGCCGCAGCUUGCUCCAGCCAUUGAGGGAGUUUAUGGAAAAGACUGGUGCAUGGAUCUGUGGAGAGAAGAAAAAGCCCUAAGUCAAAGAAAAGCAACAUUGGCGCCUGCUGCAAUGACAAGCAUGGGGCCCCUGGCAAUCGACUUAAUGGAGAGGGAACCUGAUCUGAGCUUUGUCAAAGAGGAGACGUAUGAAGAUCAUCCCAUUAGCCAGAUGAGGCUCACAGAUAACAGAAAAAUUGGUGGAAUUUUUGAUGAGGACAGCAUCCUUCAUAGAUCUGUUGAUGAGCUGCAGCUUAACUCAGGGGAAUUAAACAGCUACCCCAUGACAACUGACAUUCAAACUCAACAACGCACACAGCCAACAUUAAUGGACAAGUUGAUAGAUGAUGCAACAAUGAGCGCAAUGGUUGACAACACAAGUUCUUCUUCAGCUACCGCCGAGUACUCAGGACUAUUCAAACAAUAUCCACAUGAA